AAUGGAGGAAACUCUGAUCCAGCAAUGCCGCGUGUGUGAUGAAGGCCCUAGGGUUGUAAAGCACUUUCAACGGUGAAGAUGAUGACGGUAGCCGUAGAAGAAGCCCCGGCUAACUUCGUGCCAGCAGCCGCGGUAAUACGAAGGGGGCGAGCGUUGUUCGGAAUUAUUGGGCGUAAAGGGCGCGCAGGCGGUUUGGAUAGUUAGACGUGAAAGCCCUGGGCUUAACCUAGGAACUGCGUUUAAUACUGCCGAACUAGAGAACUAGAGAGGAUAGCGGAACUCCCAGUGUAGAGGUGAAAUUCGUAGAUAUUGGGAAGAACAUCAGUGGCGAAAGCGGCUGUCUAGCUAGUUUCUGACGCUGAGGCGCGAAAGCGUGGGGAGCAAACAGGAUU
rnacentral:rRNA from 1 species